rnacentral:rRNA from 1 species
AGCGAACGCUGGCGGCAGGCCUAACACAUGCAAGUCGAACGAACUCUUCGGAGUUAGUGGCGGACGGGUGAGUAACACGUGGAAACGUGCCUUUAGGUUCGGAAUAACUCAGGGAAACUUGUGCUAAUACCGAAUGUGCCCUUCGGGGGAAAGAUUUAUCGCCUUUAGAGCGGCCCGCGUCUGAUUAGCUAGUUGGUGAGGUAAAGGCUCACCAAGGCGACGAUCAGUAGCUGGUCUGAGAGGAUGAUCAGCCACAUUGGGACUGAGACACGGCCCAAACUCCUACGGGAGGCAGCAGUGGGGAAUCUUGCGCAAUGGGCGAAAGCCUGACGCAGCCAUGCCGCGUGAAUGAUGAAGGUCUUAGGAUUGUAAAAUUCUUUCACCGGGGACGAUAAUGACGGUACCCGGAGAAGAAGCCCCGGCUAACUUCGUG